GAAAUGCGAUAAUUAAUGUGAAUUGCAGAAUUCAGUGAAUCAUCGAGUCUUUGAACGCACAUUGCGCCCCCUGGUAUUCCGGGGGCAUGCCUGUCCGAGCGUCAUUGCUGCCCUCAAGCACGGCUUGUGUGUUGGGCUUCCGUCCCUGGCAACGGGGACGGGCCCAAAAGUACAUUUUUACACUCUUGACCUCGGAUCAGGUAGGGAUACCCGCUGAACUUAA
rnacentral:misc_RNA from 1 species